rnacentral:rRNA from 1 species
UACCAGCACCCCGAGUGGUCGGGACGAUUAUUGGGCCUAAAGCAUCCGUAGCCGGUCGUGCAAGUCCUCCGUUAAAUCCAGCCGCUCAACGGAUGGGCUGCGGAGGAUACUACAGGACUAGGAGGCGGGAGAGGCAAGCGGUACUUAGUGGGUAGGGGUAAAAUCCUUUGAUCCAUUGAAGACCACCAGUGGCGAAGGCGGCUUGCCAGAACGCGCUCGACGGUGAGGGAUGAAAGCUGGGGGAGCAAACCGG